ACUGCCCCCAGAGGCCUUGCAGGUGUGGCUGUGGUGUCACAUGUGCAUCAGUAGGUGGCAGAGAAGACAGAGGCUGUGUCUAUGCUCAAUAUUCUGACUCAUGAGCAUCAGAAUGAUUAGCAGCCUAAUAUU